rnacentral:rRNA from 1 species
GAUGAACGCUAGCGGCAGGCCUAAUACAUGCAAGACGAACGGUAAAUAUUUUAGCAAUAAGAUAUGAGAGUGUCGUAAGGGUGCGUAACACGUAUGCAAUCUGCCCUCAACAGGAGGAUAGCUCGGGGAAACUCGAAUUAACACUCCAUAAUAAGAUUUGGUGGCAUCAUCAGAUUUUUAAAACUACGGUGGUUGAGGAUGAGCAUGCGUAUGAUUAGCUAGUUGGCGGGGUAACGGCCCACCAAGGCGAUGAUCAUUAGGGGAACUGAGAGGUUGAUCCCCCACACUGGCACUGAGAUACGGGCCAGACUCCUACGGGAGGCAGCAGUAGGGAAUAUUGGACAAUGGGUGCGAGCCUGAUCCAGCCAUGCCGCGUGCAGGAAGAAGGCUUUCUGAGUUGUAAACUGCUUUUGCCAGGGGAUAAAAUAACGGUGCGCCGUGAACUGAAGGUACCUGGUGAAUAAGCCACGGCUAACUACGUGCCAGCAGCCGCGUAAAAC